UCCUACCACAGGGCUGAGUGAUGGUGAUUCCCUUAUUAAACUGCACUUAGAGGCAGCGACUGUCAGGCAGGGAUGGAGAGCUUCUCCGAUAAGUUGGAGCUAUUCAUUAUUAAAUUAUCUUCAUUCACUUGAACAUCUCAUUUUCAUUGAAUUAGAUGAAAAGUGCUCAAAGGCAGCUGCUGCGGCUGCUCGGAGGCUGCCAGGAGCGGCGUGCAAAUGUCGCUGCCGGCCUUUCCUCCCGCACCGGCUGCGCCUCACCCUUUCCACGGGACGGCUGGACCUCGCGGACGGUGUGAAUCUCCUGGAGGUAGCUGAGGGGGUCGCACCAGCUGAUGGUCCCACCUUGGAGAUCUGGAUUCACCAGCUCUGGGAGCUGGAGCGGGAGAGCUCAGAAGAACACCUGGCUGCUACUCAAUCCCGAAUGUUUCCGGAGCAGCCUACAACCUCACCGUAAAUCUCACCCGCAGAAACCGCUUUGAUCAACGCGCUUGGAUUUCAGCCUUCAGCCGUGAUCAAGGCAGGGGGAGAGACGAGAGCAAGUACUCGCAGGCUCUUUGGGGACGGUCUAGAAAACGAAGCUGGUUCUCCAAGAAAAAAGCCCGCUUCAAAGAGCCUUUCUGAGAGCGCUGCUCCCAACACCACUGCCGAGCCUCGGGAGAGAAGGAAAUCGCUUUUUAACGGAGUUUCAUGGGCUUCGGGGGAGCCCCCUGAUUUACGGCCGAUGAGGAGAAGGCUUGGAUGGAGCAGGCAUGAUCCCAGCAGCCUCCUGGGAUUUAUUUUUUUCACAGCCCUGGACACUAUUUGGGGUGGUUUAUAUGCCGUAAUAUUUUUUUAUUUUCUUUUUUUUUUUUUUUUUUUGCCGUUAUGUCGGUGAACCAACCGUAGAAACUAGUUUGGGAAAACAACGUGGGAGAUGAUAGAUACGUCCUCGGUGGCAUGGGCUCCCCCAGCGAUGAAAUGGGCUACAGGUGGAGAAAAAGGUCCCUGAGACCCUUUUCUCCUUCAAUUCCCAUCUCCCUGCACGGAUCGAUAAUGCCGGGGGCAAGGAAAGGGCGAGGAGCCGUGGCGGGGGGAAUCGUGUUAAAGGAAAAGCUGGAAGGUGGUGCCCAGCGUGGUAACUGCCGCUGGUUUUGAGGCGGAUCGGCUGGGGGGGUUUGUGCGGCCUCGUAGGGAGCAGAGGCUGCUGUGGGCUGGGGGAGCGCUUUUAAAAAUCAUUUGAGUGAUUUCUCUCCUCCUUUCUUUCCAUCCGGUCGGGCUCCGCUCCCGCUAUGCGUGUCGGGAGCGAAAGGUCCGGCUUGCAGCUCUGUCUGUCUGUUUUUUCACAGAGCUUUGCCCUCCGGGGGACAUCCCUCCAAAAUUCACCGACCAUCUCAGGAGCAGAGCCAGGAGGUCCCCGGGGAGCACCGUCCCGGGGCGGGGGGGGGUCAGGCUCUGGCCCGAUGAGGUAAUUCCUCCAGCCGGGCUCCUGGCCGUGAAUCAGCAAUGCCCCUGGCCCCGGCGCUGCUGAUUUACACCGUCUGCAGUGGCACCCCGGGGCAGGACACCCGUAUUUAAUGGACGGGGGUACCGCUGCCGGCAGCGGCGGUUCCCAGCGCUGAGCUCGGGGAGGUGAAAGCAAUUUGCCGUCGGCGUCCCCUGGUUCCCUACGAGUUUCUCUCUGCUUGCAGAACGGGAUGCUGU